UGGCCUCUCCUUUUCUUUUUUCUUUUUGUCAUUUUUAUUUUCAUUUUAAUUUUGAGUUUUUUUCUUUUUCUUUCUUUUUUCUUUUUUGUGUUUUUUUGUUUUAUAUUUUUUGAUUUUGUUUUUGAUUGCUAUUUUUUUAUUUUGAUUUUUCUUUUCUUUUUUGAUUGUGAUUUUUUUGAUUGAAUAUGAAGAUCUUCCACUUUCAUCUUGUAUGCGAAAAAUCUUCUUUGGUAUCAGGUUUUUUUCAUAAAGCCUUUUGGGGCGCAACUACGACAGAAAACUUUGGAUAUUCCUCUUCAAUCAGGAUAAACCCAACAAAAACUUGAAGAGAUGGAAACUUGACU
rnacentral:lncRNA from 1 species